UACGUAGGGACCAAGCGUUGUUCGGAUUUACUGGGCGUAAAGGGCGCGUAGGCGGCGUGGUAAGUCACUUGUGAAAUCUCUGAGCUUAACUCAGAACGGUCAAGUGAUACUGCUGUGCUAGAGUGCAGAAGGGGCAAUCGGAAUUCUUGGUGUAGCGGUGAAAUGCGUAGAUAUCUGGAGGAACACCGGUGGCGAAGGCGGCGUUCUGGACUGACAUUGACGCUGAUGAGCGAAAGCUAGGGGAGCAAACGGG
rnacentral:rRNA from 1 species